GUUUGGCACCUCGAUGUCGGCUCAUCACAUCCUGGGGCUGUAGUAGGUCCCAAGGGUUGGGCUGUUCGCCCAUUAAAGUGGUACGCGAGCUGGGUUCAGAACGUCGUGAGACAGUUCGGUCCCUAUCCGUCGCAGGCGUAGGAAAUUUGAGAAGACCUGUCCUUAGUACGAGAGGACCGGGAUGGACGUACCUCUGGUGUACCAGUUGUCCUGCCAAGGGCAUGGCUGGGUAGCUAUGUACGGAAUGGAUAAGCGCUGAAAGCAUCUAAGCGCGAAGCCAACUUCAAGAUAAGAUUUCCCACCGCAAGGGUAAGACCCCAGAAAGACUAUCUGGUUGAUAGGUCGAAGGUGUAAGUGCAGCAAUGUAUUUAGCUUAUCGAUACUAAUAGGUCGAGGACUUGACCAAU
rnacentral:rRNA from 1 species